rnacentral:rRNA from 1 species
UGAGGAACAUGACCUUCGGCGGGGGAUAGCCGGCCCAACGGCCGGGUAAUACCGCGUACGACCACAUGGGGACAUCCCUGAGUGGUGAAAGCAGCAAUGCGCCGAUGGAGUGCCUCGCGGCCUAUCAGCUAGUUGGUGAGGUAACGGCUCACCAAGGCGACGACGGGUAGCCGGCCUGAGGAGGGUGACCGGCCACACGUGGGACUGAGACACGGCCCAGACCUCCCGUACGGGGAGGNAGCG